AAAGGUUGUACCACUGACGUCACAUCAUCUAGCCAAUGGGCGAGGAGAUCAGCGUUGGUUCGUCCCCUAUGGUUCGUCCGUUGCAGUUUGAAUUUUUCAACGAGAUCAACCCAAACAGUGUGAGAUAAAGGAGCAUCGCGCCCAAAGUUUUAUACCAUGAGCUGGGCGGUGGAGGAGUGGAAGGAUGGACUUCCAGGGAAAGCCCUGCAGAAGAUCCAGGAGCUGGAGGGCCAGCUGGACAAACUGAAGAAGGAAAGGACCCAGAAACAGUUUCAGCUGGACUCUAUAGAGGCUGCCCUGCAAAAACAGAAGCAAAAGGCGGACAAUGAACGCUCUGAAACUUCUGCUUUGAAAAGAGAGAACCAGUCUUUAGUUGAGUCAUUAGACUCUCUGGAGAAAGCUCGUCAAAAGGCAUGCCAUGACCUCGGAGUCAAAGAGCAGCAGGUGAGCUACCUGGAGGGUCAGCUGAACUCCUGCAGGAAGACCAUAGAACGACUGGAGCAGGAGCUCAAAAAGUACAAAAAUGAACUGGAUCGUUCUCAGCCUGCUGGCUCUUCCUCCUUGUCGUCAUCUUCCUCAGAGCUGACUUCCUACACAACUCCACAGAAAAGUUUUACAACCCCAGCUCCUGUCCAGGCCUACAGACAGCAGGACAACAGACUGGAGGAGCUUCAGGAGAAAUACAGUCAGGAGGUGGAGGAAAGAAAAAGGCUGGAGACUGAACUUAAAGUUCUACAGGUCAAGCUGUUGAGUCAGUCUUCAGUCAGUGUGAGCCACAAGGACAUUGCUGCCCGCCAAGCUGGAUCGUCUAUAUUCCCAUGGCAGAAGCAGGAUCAGGCUCAUGGCCGCCUGUCUCAGGAUGCGAUGGAAACGCCUCUGAAGAGGCGGGGGACCUCCCUGUGGGACGCCCAUGAGGAGACACCUAUUAAAACCAGCCAGCGAAUGAGCUGUUCCAUACCAAUGCAGAGUCCUGGCGGAUCCUCCCAACAGACAGAGCAGCUGAAGACCAUCAACCAAGAGCUGCGUAGCCGUGUAACAGAACUGGAAAGGAAUCUGGCCUCUCAGGACAAGGAAAUUCGUAGCCAAGCCUCCAAGCUACAGGAACUCCAAACCCAAGUGAACCAGGCUCGCAAGGAUUUGACUGAACGGGACAGAGACCUGGCCAAGACCAGCCACGAGCUGAGCCAGGUUACUGACAAACACCAGCAGGCUGUUUCUAAGUGUUCAUCAGUGGAGCUGAAGCUGAAACAAGUCACAGAGGAGAUGAACUGUCAGAGACACAACGCUGAGAGCUGCAAACGAGCCCUGGAGCAGAAACUCAAGGACCAAGAGAGAGACAGUCAAAAGGAGCUGGCCCAGCUGCAGAGUUCUCACCAGGCUUUGGACCAGCAGCUGAAUCAGACCAGAACCAAGCUGACGCAAGAGCUCCAACAGUCCAAGAAAGAACACAACGUGCUGCAGGCAGACAUGGAGAAGAUGAGCUCCCAGAAGAGUCAGAUGGAGAGGACAGUAGAGGAGCAGAGACAGAAACUGCUGAGGUCAGAGCAGAGCCUUCAGGCCACCCAGACCAAAGAGCAAGACCUCCGGAAGAAAAUGGAGGAGCUGCAGAAAGAGAAGAACAGUGUGACAGUCCAGUUGGACCAGAGCAGCAGGCGUCUGAGUCAGCUGGAGGAUGAGAAGAAGAGCACAGACCAGAGCUUCAAACGCACUCAGGGGUUACUGGAUGACUUGAAAGCAAAAUCAGAGGGACAGGCAGAGGAGGUGAAGAAAUUGCAGACUAAACUGGAGCAGCAGACCCAGACCUCCGCCAGAGAUCUUGAGAACCUGAAGAAGACACUUUCUGAUGCAGAGACAAAAACUGACAGAUCUCAGAGUGAGCUGCGGACACAGAAGCAGGAGGCAGAGAAGCUCACCAACAGGCUGACCGUCCUCGAGAAGGAAGCUCAAGAGCUCAAAUCCAAUCUCACUGCUAGCCAGAAUGAGCGUAAGGACCUGAAACAAGAACAUCAAGUUCUGCUGGAGUGGAAGAAAGAAAAGGAGACAUUGAUUAAUGAAACUGAGGCUGUGCAGAAGGAGCUCACUGACAAAAUUGGAAACUUGGAGAACAGCCUGACCUCACUGAAUGAGGCUAAGGAUGAACUCAAGAAGCAGCUUGAGAGUGUAGAAGGAGACAAAGCAAGUCUGUCAGCUCACAUCGACACCUUGAAAGGAGAACUCCUCAACAAGAGCACUGAGCUGGAGGAGAGGGAGCAUCAGCACCAGGAGCUCCAGUCUAAGUUCUCUGAAGCUGGACUGAAACACACAAAAGACCUGGAGAAUGUGGCCGUACAGGUGGCUCAACUAGAAGCCCAGGUCAAAGUUCUGGAGUCACAUUUGCAAAGGGAGACGAUUCGAGCAGAACAGGCUGAGCGGACUAACAUAGAGCUACAGGACGAACACCAGACAGCCUGUGAUCUGGCUCGCUCCAAAGACCAGCUGCUGGAGCUUAGCCAAGCAGAGGUCAACCAGCUGAGGGAGAGCCUUGCUCUAUCCACUGCACAACAGGAGGAGCACAAUGUCAGGUUGUCAGAGGAGAAGGCUGCUCUGCUGAAGCAGUGUGAGGAAAGUGUUUCAGCAAAGAUGGAGGAGUCUGAGCAGCUGAACCUGAAGUUGGAGGAGACUCAGCAAGAGCUCCAGCUUACCAAAAAUCAGGUCAGUUCAAAGGAUCAGCUUCUGAAGGUCCAGGAGCAGCUUGGAGCUGAGCUGCAAAAACAGAUUGAGACGCUGUCAGAAAAUGUAGAGGAACACAAGAAGAUGCAUGAGAAGAAAUCAGAAGAGCUCAAGCAGUUAGAAGAGGAGAUGAAGGAUCUGCAGAGCCAGACUGAGGAGAAGGAGCAGCAGCUGAGAGAGGCUGAAGUUCAGGUCGCGUCUCUGGAGAAACUGAAGGAUGAGCUGGAAAGUUCAGUUCAGGAGACAAAGAGAGAAGCUGAGAACAUCAAGCUGAGUCAGACUGAGAGGAUUAACAGCCUUCUGGAGCAGAUAUCAACCCUAGAAGAAGAGAUGUCUGUCAGCAAAGCUGUAGCAGAGCAGCUCCCAGUCCUAAAGAAUGAACUGGAUGUGAUCAACCAAGCCCACGUUGAACUUGUGAAACAGUUUGAAGCCCUGGAGAGGAGUCACUCUUCUACUGUUGAAAUCAAAUCUGACUUGGAGAACACCCUGACAGAGAAAAGCAACCUGCUCUCUGGUUUGGAAACAGAGGUCAAAGAGCUCAAAGAUAAGAUGAACAAAGAGUCAGAGAACCACGCUUUGGAGAUUCAAAACGCCCACAACAAAGAGAAAUGCCUGAAAGAGAAGCUCGAAGCAACAAAAAAAUCUGUUGCUUCUUCCAAAGCUGAGUCCAGGUCUCGAGGGGAGGAGAUCAGGACUAUGAAGACGACUCUGUCAGCGGCUUCAAGCGGGUUAGAGGAGAGAGACAACACCAUAAAGAGUCUGAAGGAGAAGCUGAAUAAAGCAGAGGCAGAGCAAGCCAAAACCUCCGAGCAGCUGAAGGAGAAGGUUGUAUCUAUGAACAAAAUCAAGGUGCAGAUGGAGAUGCUUCAAAUGGACCUGGAGGACAACGAGACAGUCAUGAACUCUUUUGACACUCAGGUGGAAGAGCUGAAGGGGACAGUAGAGUCCCUGGGGGCUCAGCUGGCUCAAAACCAGAUCCAGAUGUCCGACAUGGAGGUCAAACUGGAGGACGGCAAAGCACAGGUGUCUGUCUUGGAAACCCGGUUAGAAGAAGUCCUAUCUCAGAACUCAGUGCUGGAGAGUCAGUACGUUACAGCGAGGGAGGAGCUGAUGGAGAGGAGCUAUGAAAUAUCUCGCCUGGAGGAGGACGCUGUCAAAAAAAGCCAGCUGGAGGAGAGCGUUGCAACUUUAGAGUCUCAACUAAGCCAGGCUACUGAGGAAAGUGUGAAAUCCGAGACAGCUCUCAGGCAGAUCAUUGAGGACAAGGACAACAGUCUUCACCAGUUACUGCAGGAGAAAAACACGCUGGAGACUACUCUGAAACAGUUAGCAGAAGACAAGGAGCAAGUUGAAACUGAAACUAUUCGAGUCAAUGCAGAGAAGAAACAGCUACAGGCCAGUUUAGACGAGCUGACUGAGCAGAACAAACAGCUGCAGAGCCAUGUUGGAAAGUUUACUGAAGAGAAACAAAGAGCAGAAUCCACUCUGAGACAGGUCAUUGAGGAAAAAGCUCGGCUCAAUGUUAUCAUAGGUUCAAUAAAUGAGGAAAAAAUACAACUUGAGGCCAAGCUGAGUGAGCUAACUUCUGAAAGGAAUAACUUGAAAGGAGUUUUUGAGGAAAGGCUUGAGCUGGAAGUUAGCUUUAAUCAGCUGACUGAGGAGUACAAAAAUCUACAAUCCAGCCUGAAUCAAGUAACUGAAGAGAAGCUGCAGUUACGAGAAAAUAUAGAGAGGUACGAAGAUGAGGUGGCUUCAAUCAGAGAGUUAAAUGAGAAUAUCCAGCGCUCCGUCCUGUCCUCGGAGCAGGAACAGCAGAGACUGAAAGAGCAGCUGCAGAUGAGAGACGAGAGGACUGAGGAAGACAAAGAGAGAAGGCAGCAGUCUGAGGCAGAGCAGGCUGCGCUGCAACAGAAGCUGGGGGCCUUACAGAAGGCCUUAUUGGAGUUCAAGCAGAAGUACGAUUCUCUGCUGGAGCAAGUGGACCAACAGCAUAGCCUCAUACUGCUGCUGUCAGAACUUCAGGAGACUCACAACCAAGGAGAUCAAAUCAGCAACAUGGAGUCUGAGGAGACACAAAGUGAAGCAGCAGGGCAAACAGACACAGAGUCAUAUGAUGCAUGCGUCAGAACAGAUACCGAGACCUCUCCUGUGGCGUCUGAAGGAGCCCAACUGUCCAGCCAGUCUGAGGAGGCUUCCAGUGAGACAGAGCUCGUUUUAAUGGAUGACAUUGCUGACAAAGAGAUGACUCAAGAACAACUGCAUGCAGACAUUUCACUGUGUGUGGCCAGUGUAGAGGGAAUGAGAGAUGAGGAGGUGCAGCAUCAACAGGAAUCCUUAGACCAGGUUACUGAAGACGGCAGUAAUCUCACUGUUACUGUUGAAAAUCAACCAGAAAUCUGCGAGUUCCCUCUAUCUUCUUCUUCCUCCAGUGAAAACAGACAGUUAGAAUCCUCAGGGUCAUCCCAGAAACAAGAUGACUCCAACCACCUGCAAGAUGUUCUCAAAACUCGAGAGAAUGAGCUUCAGUCCCUGUGUGCAGAGUUGAACCUACUGAAAUCAGAACUUGCUUUGAGGGUAGAGCUAAACUCUGAGCUGGAAGUCCAGGUUCAGAACUUAGAGAAGAAAAGUCAUGCAGCAGAAGAAGAGGCAAACAGGUCUGCACACAAGCUGAGCAUUGCUUUGGAGGACAAGAAAGGCGUUGCUGACCAGUUGGUGGAGCUGACAGAGGAGAGGGACACACUUACUCUGCAGCUGCAAACUGCUAAAUGUCAGCUGACUGAUGUGAUGGAGAUGUUGGAGGGACUGGAGAUGGCCAAAGGUGGCUGGGACGAGAAAUUCCUUCAGCAGGAGAGUGAGCUUAGGAGGGUCCGCUCUGAGAAAGCCAAUCUGGAGCAGCACAUACUGGGCAUGGAGUGUGAGCUGGAGACCCUGCAGGAGGAGGGGAGCAAACUGAAGGAUGAGAUUGAGACUCAGAGGAGGACAUGUUCUGGCAUGGAGCAGCAGGUGGAGAUGCUCGGGACAGAGACGACACAGCUGAGAUCUGAACUUGUGUCCUGCACUGAGGAGCGAGACGACCUGAACCAGUCUUUGAGCCAGUGGAGAGAGAAAGCUCACGGCCUGGAGAAGACUAACUGUGACACCAGAAACCUAAUUUCCAUCCUGGAGGAGGACAUCAGAGCGGGGAGAAAGGAGUAUGAAGCUCUGAAAAGCAGCAUGGAGAAACUAAAUGCAGAGAGGCAACAGCUGUUGGAGCAGAUGAGGACAAUGGAGCAGGCGAUUUCUCAGCAGAGUGGAGAAAGAAAGGAGCUCAUAGGGCAGCUUGACAGAAUCAAAGAAGACCACACCUCAGCCAAUCAAAACACAGAAUCCAUGGAGGGAAAGAUCCAGGCUUUAGAGGGAGAAGUGUGUCGCCUCUCACAGUCUCUGGAGUCCUCUCUGCUUGAAAAGGGCGAGAUUGCCUCUCGUCUGAACUCCACACAGGAUGAGGUCCGGCAGAUGAGGACUGGUAUUGAAAAGCUCCAGGUUCGCAUUGAGUCGGAUGAGAGGAAGAAAAAGAAGAUGGGGGAGCUGCUUAAAGCUGCACAGAGAAAGUCUGACUCACUGCAGGAUCGUAUCGAUGCUCUGGAGCGAGAGAAGGAGGAUGCUGAGCAAAGCCUGGAGGAUGCUGUGAUUCAGGCUGAGACAGCUAAAGCUGAGCUGGAAGAAGAAAGAACAAAGGUGGAGGAGCAGAAGACAGACCUCAACAAUAAGCUAUCAGAGCUCUCUGCCACAUUAGACAACCUCAGAUCUGAGAAAGAACGCAUGGAAAGGGAGCUGGAAACAAAAAACAAAGAGAUAGGAGAGCUGAAGGCUGCCAAGGAGGAGCUGGAGAGAGGGCUGGAGAAGGCAGCAGUGGACAGAAGAGAGGAAGAGGAAAGACAGAAAAACAGGGUGGAAGAGCUGGAGAAAGGAAUGAGGGAGGAAUCGGAGAAGAAAACGAGACAAGUAGAUGAACUCCUGGCACAGCUGGUGGCCCUUCAACAGAGAGAGGUCUCUCUUGAACAGAACAGAGUGGAAACUGAAGGAGAAAGAGAGAGUUUGCAGUCUCUGCUGCAAGAGAUGGAGAGGGAGAAAAUGUGUCUUCAGUCUUCCCUGGAGGAGUGGCAGAGAGAAGGAGAGAGGCUGCGCUCUCAGGGAGAGGAGUGGGAGAAAGAGAGGAACAACCUGAGGAGCAGUAUUGAGACUUUGGAAAAAGAAAUUCAAGAGCUUCAGUCAGUCCUGAAGGCAAAAGAGGAGGAGAAAGAUAUUUUGGAAAAGGAGAGGGAGAAGGAGGCAGAGCAGAGAGACACCUCUGUAAAAUCCAUCACCUCUCUUAUGGCGGAGAAAGAACAGAUAGAAGAUAAACUCAGUCGUCAGGCAGAGGAGAAAGAGAAACUGCACUCCACCCUGUUUCUGGUGGAACAAGAGAGAGAUAAACUGCGCUCUGCUCUGGUAACUGUAGAAGAAGAGAAAGAAAGACUGGAGCAAGAGAGCCAGGUGUUAGCUGGAGAGAAAGAGAAGCUUCAGUCCUCAGCAGAGAAGGAGAAACAUGACAUGCAACUGACUCUCUCUUCAUUAAAGCAAGAACAGGAAACAACAGAAGAGGAGAGGCAGAAACUCAAGGCUGAAAAGGAAGAACUGCAGUCCUCCCUUUCUUUGAUCGAAGCUGAGAGACAGCAGCUGUCGUCCUCUCUUUGUUCACUGGAACAAGAGAAGCAAAGAGCCGUGGAGGACAAGAAGAAACUCUCAGAGGAGCAAGAGCAUCUUCAGUCUGCAGUCUCAGCUUUGGAGAAGGAGCUGGAGACACACAGGUUGUCUGUGUCAAAGCUCAAUGAGCAGACGUCAGAGUUGACGUCAAGUGUUGCUCGUCUGACUAAAGAGAGAGACUCCGCCCUGAGCAAGAUGAGUCUUUGGAUGAAGACGUGCAAACAGCUGGAGCAAGAGAAGGAAGUGAUGCUGAACAGCUCAGGUGACAGUAAGAGCAGUGAGGCGGUGCAGUCUGAGGUCAACCUGCUGAAGUUAGAGGCGGAAGAGAGACAGAAGGAGGUGGCAGACCUGGAGACAGCCUUGAAGCAGAAGAGGAAGGAGGCAGAAGAAAACAGCAAGGAGCUGGAAGAGCUUAAGGUUGCUCUUGAGGGGAAGAAAAAGGAGGCAGAGGAGAGAAACAAAGAGCUGGAGGAGAUGAAGAGCGAUUUGGAAGAACUGAACACUCUUGUGGAGGAGAAGAGCAAGGAGGCAGAUGAGAGUAUGGAUAAAUACUGCAACCUGAUGAUUAAAGUUCACAAACUGGAAGAGACCAACGAUGCACUGACAACACGGCUGGAGCAGCUCACUGCUACCAAACAUGCCAAUGAAGCUAGCAGCAGUUCAGGCAGCACUGAAAAUACUCACCGCAGACGCUCAACAAGAAAGUCCUCCUCCAAACAUCUGGAAGAAAAACUGGACGACAACGCAGAGAACAAGGCUCCUUCGACUCCUCAGAGGUCACCUCAAGGCUCGGUCAAACGAGGUCACCAGGAUGUGAGCAACAAAGACAGCGCACAGGAGGCUCUGCACAACCUGACCAAGAAGAUCAAGGCCAACGCAGCGACGACACCCAAACCUAAGACUGAGAAGGAGGACGAGGACUUCAGACCAGAGGGACUUCCUGAGCUGGUGAAAAGAGGGUUUGCUGAUAUUCCCAUGGGUGAGGAGAGCCCCUUCAUCAUGAGGAGAACCAACGUGAGGCGCUGCAGUCCUCGACUGAUUGCCAAACUGUCUGCACCUGACUGCAAGAAGUAAUCAGCCAGCUGAAGGGUUUUGAACAGUGACGCCUGCCAUCAAGUGUAGGACAGAAAGGGAGAACAGAGAGGAAAAGAUGCCAACAGAAGCAGCCAAUGAUCUUUUGUGGCAACUUAUCGAGAAAAGUGAGCCUGACAGGCAAGGCCAAGUUUACAAAAGCCUGGGAAGAUGGGAUGAAAAGAAAGUGGUGUGUCUGCAUUUUCAACUACUAUUGUUGUGUAAUGCUGACACUAAGGUUUUGGGACCAAUACCCCUCCAGAGUCCAUCUUCAGACAGCUCCAACAGGAAGUGUCUUUCCCCAAGUGGAGAGGACAAACUUUCCCGUCGUUCACUAGUAACUGAGCAGAAAGAGAUGCAACAAUCACAACAAGGAGACAACUGUCACGUUCAGUAGAUCCACAAACCACCAAACAAACACACUUCCACUUUUGCACUGGUGAUUGAUUUGUAGAAUUACACACGUGAACACUGGUUAAUGCAGAAAGAUCAGCACUACACUAUAAUAAAGACACAAUUUAAUGAAUAUGAAUACACGUUUACUUUAAAAUAUAUUAGCAGGUUCUAAAACUUUUUCACUCGUAGAAUGCACCUUUCCUCUGUCUUUGCGUUUGUGUGUUUAUCUCUUUUUUAUUUCCUGAAAAGUCUCUUUUCUUCGAGGACAGCAAAAGACAGAACUGCUCUGUUCAUUUUAUUGUGCGGCCUCAAGUCAUGAAAAAUAAAUCAAUAACUGAAGUGAGGAGCUGAAGAUUGGAACUAGCUUACAAACUUUUGAUUUUCCUCACAGCUUUAUUUUCAUUCUGCUCCACAUUUUUAAUAACUCUGCAUCUCCUCAAUGUUGGCUGUUUGACUGAUGAUUGAAGUCUCCAUUGUUCUGAUAUACCACUGAAUGUAAACCAGCUUGGUGUAUUUGUUCCUAUGUUUUUGUCUCUUUUCUAUGUGACAGCACCAAUGACUCACUGGUUGUACUUUACUUUCUGUAGCACCGUUCUCUGUGUACGUCAGGAAUGUCCUGAACAUUGUACAUAGUAGAUUAUAUAUACAGAUUUGCUUCAUUCAUCUAUUAGUUCUGUAACAUAUCACCUGAUUGCUAAUGGCAGCUAACAUUUUUUUUUACUUUCAUCUCUGACUUUUACCCAGAUUCAAAGUUCAUGUCAAGAUACAAGCAAGAUGAAAAAGUGUUUUAGAUUAGAUUUUUUUAUUAAAUGAUUUCCCACCACACUUUGCAAAAAAAUCUGAAAGCAAGUCUGCAUUUUAUAUUUGUUCUUAUCCACCCAUGACUCAAUGUCACUGUAACUGUAAAUAUUUUUUAUGAUGCCCAGUAAUUCAUAUUUGCUUUUUUCUUUUCAACUAAACAUUUUUAACUGCUUCAUAA